UACGAGGGGGGCAAGCGUUGUUCGGAUUCACUGGGCGUAAAGGGUGCGUAGGCGGUUGGGUAAGUCUGAUGUGAAAUCUCACAGCUUAACUGUGAAACUGCAUUGGAUACUAUCCAACUCGAGGAAUGGAGGGGAGACUGGAAUACUUGGUGUAGCAGUGAAAUGCGUAGAUAUCAAGUGGAACACCAGUGGCGAAGGCGGCCCCCUGGUUGGAUACUGACGCUGAUACGCGAAAGCGUGGGGAGCAAACAGG
rnacentral:rRNA from 1 species